UACAGAGGGUGCGAGCGUUAAUCGGAAUUACUGGGCGUAAAGCGUGCGCAGACGGUUGCGUAAGUCAGAUGUGAAAGCCCCGGGCUCAACCUGGGAAUUGCCUUUGAGACUGCAUCGCUAGAAUUGUGGAGAGGUAAGUGGAUUCCGAGUGUAGAGGUGAAAUUCGUAGAUAUUCGGAAGAACACCAGUGGCGAAGGCGACUUACUGGACACAUAUUGACGCUGAGGUGCGAAAGCGUGGGGAGCAAACAGG
rnacentral:rRNA from 1 species